UUUUAGCCCAGAUGGAAGCGGUAUCCUUUUUUGCCGGCAAUGAUUUGAUUUCUGAGCCGAAAUAUUGAAGCAAAAAAGAUAUAGCGGACAGCUGGUUGUUGC
rnacentral:sRNA from 1 species